rnacentral:tRNA from 2 species
CGGACGAGAAUAAAGAUAGAGUCCCAUUCCACAUGUCAAUACCGACAACAAUGCAAUUUAUAGU